AUGGGAUCUCACUCUGUCUCCCAUGUUGGAGUAUAUUGGUGUGAUCAUAGCUCAUUACAGUCUCAAAUUCCUGGACUCAAGCAAUCCUCCUGUCUCAGCCCUCUGAGUAGCUGGGGCUACAGGAUAACUCCAGGCUCCCUGGCCUCUGGACUCCAGGACCAUAAAAGCAGCCCUCAAGUUUCUCAGGCCUUUGGCCACUGACCCAAGAGUUACAUCACCAGUUUCCCUGGUUCUGAGGCCUUCAGACUUGGACUGAGUCACAACUAGCACCUCAGAAUCUCCAGCUUGCAGAAGGCCUGCC
rnacentral:lncRNA from 13 species